CAGCAGCCGCGGUAAUACGAAGGGUGCAAGCGUUACUCGGAAUUACUGGGCGUAAAGCGCACGUAGGCGGUUACUCAAGUCAGAGGUGAAAGCCCGGGGCUCAACCCCGGAACUGCCUUUGAAACUAGGUGACUAGAAUCUUGGAGAGGUCAGUGGAAUUCCGAGUGUAGAGGUGAAAUUCGUAGAUAUUGGAUGGAACACCGGUGGCGAAAGCGGCUCUCUGGCCCGGAUCUGACGCUGAGGCGCGAAAGCGUGGGGAGCGAACAGGAUUAGAUACCCGCGUAGUCCCUGUCUCUUAUAC
rnacentral:rRNA from 1 species